rnacentral:lncRNA from 1 species
UUUUUUUUUUUUUGUUUUGUUUUUUUUUCUCCCCCUAAGUCUCAACUCGCUCGCUCGCUGUCCCUCGGGGACUUCAUGUGCCAGACUGCUUACCCACCCCAGGCAGCACCGUGCAGGAACGCGGGUGAGUGCGCGCGUGUGGGGGCAUGUACGUGGGAGGCGGCUGCCCCGGGGAGGUGGAGGGGCCGCUGCCGCACGAGCCUCCAGGGCUUCAGGUGAAGUCUGAGGACCUGUGGCUGGCUGUCAGUCUGUCUCCCUCUCCCGGCAGCGGCAGCGCCCUUCGGCUUCCAUCUCCUUGCGGAGCUAAGCAGCUAAGCCUCCCCCACCAAGCUCCUUCCCCCUCUUAUCCGCUCAGCAGUCCCUGCUGCCUCUCCUCGAGGAUGGAGGACGCAGGUGACCUGCCCUGAGCUUCCCUCAAGGGUGGGUCUGGGGCUGAGGUGCCUGCAUUUUGGUACAAGCAGGGUUGCCAUGGCAACUUGGGGGCACAGCAUCUGCCCCCUUUCCUAGGCUGGGCACAAGGAGCCAUAAGGAUGAUUCAUAUGAACGAGUAUCACAUGAGCUCACUGUGCUUAACCCUUAAGGGCUGGAGCUUGUGGGGGCUGAUAAGAGAGAAGAGGGUACACACUGGACAGGGAGGGGCAUCAGCACAGUGGGACUCUGGACCUUCCAGCCAGGCUCUAUUCCCCAUCUCUGUUCCUUCCACAGGUGAAGAGGUGGAUUCACAUGUCGAAGGUCACACAGCAAGAGCACGACCAAGGUGCUCUUGGAAAUGGCCCCCUCCCCAUGGUUGCAAGCACGUCUGACCCCCCCCCACACCUCGCCCACUGGCAGGCCUUAAAAAAAUAUUGACUUUUCAAAAUGCCAGGCCAAAUCCAAGGUUGAAAUCCACAUCUGCCCAACCACCUGGUAUGAUCGAUGCACCGCCCCCUCACCUCUCUGUCCUGAGUCAAUAUUUGCUCUCUAGACACCAGACUUGCCAAAGUAAGUAUCUUGAAGGCCCACCCUGUGACAGACAGUGUGUGCAGGCUACCUACAGCCUCCUCUUCCUCCUCCUCAUUCCAACCCCCCAACUCCCCACCCCCGGUGGUCCAGGCAUCUCCGGUAAGAGUGAGCACCUCCUCUGGCCCAGCUCAUGGCCCUGUGCUGUGGAGGGUCAGAGGGAUGCAACACAGCUGCUGACUGAUGCCACCUGAGCCUGAUAAAUGCUCAAAGGAUCCCAUUUGCUAAAAAGGGAGACUGAGGCCCAGAGAGCUGAGGCUGUGUGUGGUGGCCUGCCUCCCAGAGGCCCCCAGGGUCCCCACUACCCCUCCCACAAUGCAUCAGGGUUGGUCCCCAAGCGCCACAGUGAGGAUGACUCUAGGGCAUGUAAGGGGCAGCCAUGGUGGAUGCUCUGGAGGAGAAACCCACAGAGAAGAGACUAGAGUUCCAGCUAGAACCCAGCACCAUGGCUGGCUACUGGACGAAGGCAGGUACCUGCCUCCGGUCAGAUCCAGAGGACAGGAACCAUGGCCAGCUUCCCGACUAGAGUCACUGGGAGACAAAAACUCACUCAGCCAAGCUGCCCUCAGUCUCCUGAUCAUAAUAUGUGCAAAGGUCCUGAGGUGAGCCAGGUUCAUAGGGAACUGUAGGGAUGAGGACAGGAUGGCUUACAAUGGAAGGAGGGCCCCUGACUGAGGUCAGGCUGUGUGCCCAGCAGGUGAGAGAGGUCAGACUGUGUGCCCAGCAGGUGAGAUGUCACCCCAGCCUGCACCUCUGCAGAUGAGGAAACAUGCCAGGGGAAGGCCAAUCCCCUUCUCCACCUGAGCCUGGCUCCUUCCCUAGCCUCCAAAGGGGGCUACACCCACAGUCACAGCCGGGGUUUCUGGGUUCUACAAGGAAUUCACAGCAAACUCCAGGCUCCGGUCACUUCAUAGACUUCCCAGGUAACCAGGGACAGACAGAAGACAGGAAAGGAUAGACAGGCCCUUCCCAAUCUGGCCCCAGAAAAGCCACCCCAGGAACAUUUCGAGAACGAGAGGGGGACCCAAGUGUGACAGGCUAUCUGGACACAGAGAUGGGGAUCAUUCUAUCCUUCGGAGGGGAGGGGGGGCCGUGAGAGGCACGAGACACAUCUAAAGUGAUCGUAGCUCCCACUGAAUGGCUUCAAGAGGGGUGCAGCACCUGUAAUAUUUCUAAGAGAAGCCAAACACCCCAGAUGAAACACUGCCCCUUUGGGAUGGAUAGACACACUGAAGCUGGGGACCAGGUUGGGAUGCACAGGUGUCAUCGGCUUUGAAAACACCUCAGAUGGGGCUGGAGAGAUGGCUCAGAGGUUAGGAGCACUAGCUGUUCUUUCAGAGGUCCUAAGUUCAGUUCCCAGCAACCACAUGGGGGCUCACAACCAUCUGUAAUGGAAUCUGCUGCCCUCUUCAGGCCUGCAGGUGAACAUGCGGGUAGAAUGUUGUAUACAUAACAAAUAAAUCUUUAUUU